rnacentral:rRNA from 1 species
CCUACGGGUGGCAGCAGUGGGGAAUAUUGCACAAUGGGCGCAAGCCUGAUGCAGCCAUGCCGCGUGUGUGAAGAAGGCCUUCGGGUUGUAAAGCACUUUCAGCGGGGAGGAAGGCGGUGAGGUUAAUAACCUCAUCGAUUGACGUUACCCGCAGGAGAAGCACCGGCUAACUCCGUGCCAGCAGCCGCGGUAAUACGGAGGGUGCAAGCGUUAAUCGGAAUUACUGGGCGUAAAGCGCACGCAGGCGGUCUGUCAAGUCGGAUGUGAAAUCCCCGGGCUCAACCUGGGAACUGCAUUCGAAACUGGCAGGCUAGAGUCUUGUAGAGGGGGGUAGAAUUCCAGGUGUAGCGGUGAAAUGCGUAGAGAUCUGGAGGAAUACCGGUGGCGAAGGCGGCCCCCUGGACAAAGACUGACGCUCAGGUGCGAAAGCGUGGGGAGCAAACAGGAUUAGAUACCCUAGUAGUC